rnacentral:lncRNA from 1 species
AUGACCGCGGGAGGCUACGCGCGGGGCGGGUGCUGCUUGCUGCAGGCUCUGGGGAGUCGCCAUGCCUACAACACAGCAGUCCCCUCAGGAUGAGCAGGAAAAGCUCUUGGAUGAAGCCAUACAGGCUGUGAAGGUCCAGUCAUUCCAAAUGAAGAGAUGCCUGUGUUUCCUCUAUCUCAAGGAAUUGCUUGCAUUUCUGAGUUAAGUGGAACAUAUGGGCAUUGUGAGGGCUUGAAGAAUGCAAGAGGAAAGCAAACUUACAUGGAUAGUCAUUUCAGACAGCUCUGAAGAGUCUUUAACCCAUGACAAAGCCAUGUCAGGAUAGUAUCUUCCUUCACCUGAAUCAGUAUGCCAGUUCUCUUGAUUGCAGGACAAAAACAAGCUUAUGGAUGCUCUAAAACAUGCUUCUAAUAUGCUUGGUGAACUCCGGACUUCUAUGUUAUCACCAAAGAGUUACUAUGAACUUUAUAUGGCCAUUUCUGAUGAACUGCACUACUUGGAGGUCUACCUGACAGAUGAGUUUGCUAAAGGAAGGAAAGUGGCAGAUCUCUACGAACUUGUACAGUAUGCUGGAAACAUUAUCCCAAGG